UACGAAGGGGGCUAGCGUUGUUCGGAAUUACUGGGCGUAAAGCGUGCGCAGGCGGCUUCUCAAGUCAGGGGUGAAAGCCCAGAGCUCAACUCUGGAAUUGCCUUUGAGACUGAGUGGCUUGAGUACGAGAGAGGUGAGUGGAAUUCCCAGUGUAGAGGUGAAAUCGUAGAUAUUGGGAAGAACACCGGUGGCGAAGGCGGCUCACUGGCUCGUAACUGACGCUCAUGCACGACAGCGUGGGGAUCAAACAGG
rnacentral:rRNA from 1 species